rnacentral:sRNA from 1 species
GUUUAUCAACCGACCUCCAUUAUCUUUUAGUCAAGUUUUAGGGUAGAUAGUUUCUGAAAUUCAUAGUUUUCAUAGAGUCUCUUGAGGGUGAGAGGUCUGCAAAGUAUAGGGUUCUACGAUGUUGGCAGCAGGAGUCUCCUUUAGCGAGUGCAAAGAAACCGUGAAGGGAGUCUUGGGCUGUGGUCUGCAAAGAGUCUGGGGCUUAGGAUUCUCACGAGUGCAAAGUAACCGUGAGCAACCCCAUGGCUACGCAUGAUUCAGAAUUGAGAAUUUAAUUUGUUUGGGGAAUUAAUGAGAACCUGCACAUAUCAAGUUUCUGAAAUAGAAUCUGUAGGACGCCAAAGUGGG